GUUGAACUAUAGCUCGAGAUUUUAAACAAUCGAGGAAGAAGAACAACCGUUGGCGGGAGAAACAAACUGAAAUCAGCGAAGCAAACUUUAUUUCGACGUCUUUAUGAUAAAACAGCACAAAAUGACGGAACAGUCGGCAGAAAUCCUUAUUUUGAAGAUGAGUUUAGGUGUGUUUAUAACAGCCUUACAAAUAUCACCUCUAAUUACAACACUAUCUGAAGUGCUAACAGCGCCACCCGCUGUCUCACAGGCUAACAGCUAAGCUAAUCCGAACCGUCCGGCUCCUGAAGGACCGAAACCGAUCCAGGAGGACCUGAACAAUCACAGCUGUGUCCGGUCUGCUCACUGUGCUGCUGUUUAGAGCCACGAAAAUGGAUUAACGUCUGAUUUAAGGUAAGAAAUGAGAUAAAGUGUAGCUGAUGUACCGGCGUUAGUUUUACUGGACUGUCAUACCAUAGCACAGUAGGGAAGAGUGAUGAUCCAUGUUUCAUAUUUCGGAUCACAUCAUCAAGUCAAUCCUAGUUUUGUCUCUAACUCGUGUCUCUGCAGAUAUUUCAGGAUGUUGUUAAUCCCUGCAAACCAACAGAAUGAGUGUAAACAGAACUGUCAUCUUCAGAAUAUAGCAGGACAAAUAAAGGGGUCUCCUGUGGUCAACUUACCCCGUGUAUGGGGGGGUAAGUUGACCAUAGGAGCGGGGUAAAUUGAGCCGUAUCCCUCCAGCUAAAAAAGCUGUUUUAUACAAAAAAAAACAUUUGAAGAUGAGAAUGUCUCUAAGUGAUUGAGAACAUUCACAGAUCUAUAUUUUAGAAAAGAAAAAGUCAAACAUUUCAACAAUCUGAAGGUAAACUCUGAUCAUCAGACUCCUUCACUUUCUCUGUUCCCCCUGAACUACUAUGAUGACUUUAUUAGUCCUCCAGGAUAAAAUGGUGGACUUUUAGAUUUUUUACCUCAUGUUGGAGCUCAUAGUUACCACAGUUGAUGUAGAAAACUCAUUUAAAAUGAUCUUUUUUUGUUUGUUUCACUUCGAAAAUGUUCGGCCAUUUGAAAAUUUCCCCGACUUAUCCUGUAGAUGGCGCUACAGCGACUUCAUGCCAUUCUUCAUCCCCUAACUACCUCACAGCACAGCAGAGUGACGGAUCUGAAGCAGCAGCUCAGGGACACGGAGGAGAGUGGUCCGCCUCAACGGGAAAUAAACCAGUUUGUGAAAAACACAAUAAGUCAACAAGUUUCAGUUCAAUCCACUUCACCAUGUUCGCCGCUGUGCUGGUCUCAGUCACUCCGAGUUAACGGUGAAGCACCGUGUAAUAUGCAAACCCGCUUUUCUGGUUCGAGUUUGAUUCAUGAUAAAUACGUGGACUAUUACUGAUGAUGAUCAGUCAGUCUUCCUGUCGAGUGUUCCUCAUUCUUUAUGAUGUAUGUGAGUUAGCUUUAUUUAUAAUAAGCGGAAAAGAAUUAGUUUAUCAUCUUUAUUACAGUUAAAAUAAAUAGCCAGGGUUGUAGUGUAAGUCAUAUUAUGUAAACACAACUAAGAAAAAUGCUUCAUGUAGGCCAUGAGUUUGAAAAUGGCCCAUAUACAGCUAGACAGAUUCUUUUAAAUAAUGCAUAUUUAAUGCAUACUUGCUGUUCUCUCACUUUUGUUGUUGUUGUUGUUUUUACAGAUGUCAAAAGAAAGCGAGCGUAGUAAGGUGUGGGACCACUUCACCUUGAACAAAAGAGUUGGAAGUUAACUGUUUGCACUUUACACAAAAUACCUCAUUCUUUUUUCAGUUGUUUUAGCAAUAAAACAGG
rnacentral:lncRNA from 1 species